rnacentral:misc_RNA from 1 species
GCAGUCCUUUGUUUCAAUUGUCUUUAAAUGUUUUAUUUUGGUUUACACUUUAAAAUGUAUGUAUCAUGUUUAAUGUCUAAGUCUUCACAUUUUGGUUCCAAGUAGAACAUAUAUUAAAUCUCUUGCAUCUAAGUUCUCGACCUCGAUCAAGUAAUGGAAUUUUCGGUCUCCCUUGAUUUAUUCUUAAGUAUUGAAAAGUCGUGAGACAUCCAAUACUUCAGUAUAAAUCGCAGCACAAGCCUCAUGUGAAU